rnacentral:snRNA from 1 species
GCUGCUUCCGCGGCGAGA